GAUGAACGCUGGCGGCGUGCCUAAUACAUGCAAGUCGAGCGAACAGACGAGGAGCUUGCUCCUCUGACGUUAGCGGCGGACGGGUGAGUAACACGUGGAUAACCUACCUAUAAGACUGGGAUAACUUCGGGAAACCGGAGCUAAUACCGGAUAAUAUAUUGAACCGCAUGGUUCAAUAGUGAAGGACGGUUUUGCUGUCACUUAUAGAUGGAUCCGCGCCGCAUUAGCUAGUUGGUAAGGUAACGGCUUACCAAGGCAACGAUGCGUAGCCGACCUGAGAGGGUGAUCGGCCACACUGGAACUGCGACACGGUCCAGACUCCUACGGGAGGCAGCAGUAGGGAAUCUUCCGCAAUGGGCGAAAGCCUGACGGAGCAACGCCGCGUGAGUGAUGAAGGUCUUCGGAUCGUAAAACUCUGUUAUUAGGGAAGAACAAAUGUGUAAGUAACUAUGCACGUCUUGACGGUACCUAAUCAGAAAGCCACGGCUAACUACGUG
rnacentral:rRNA from 1 species